AGCAGCCGCGGUAAUUCCAGCUCCAAUAGCGUAUAUUAAAGUUGUUGCAGUUAAAAAGCUCGUAGUUGAAUUUCGGGAUCGAUGUUUCGGUCAUGCCGUUGGUAUGUACUGAUAUUAUUGAUUUCUCACCUUCUAAAGAACCGUAAUGCCAUUAAUUUGGUGUCACGGGGAAUUAGGACUGUUACCUUAGAAAAAUUAGAGUUGUUUAAAGCAGGCUCACGCUUAGAAUACAUUAGCAUGGAAUAAUAGAAAUAGGACAUCCGAUUCUAUUUUGUUGGUUUCUAGGAUCGAUGUAAUGAUUAAUAGGGAUAGUUGGGGGCAUUAGUAUUCAAUUGUCAGAGGUGAAAUUCUUGGAUUUAUUGAAGACUAACUACUGCGAAAGCAUUUGCCAAGGAUGUUUUCAU
rnacentral:rRNA from 1 species